rnacentral:rRNA from 1 species
GAUGAACGCUGGCGGCGUGCCUAAUACAUGCAAGUCGAGCGAACAGACGAGGAGCUUGCUCCUCUGACGUUAGCGGCGGACGGGUGAGUAACACGUGGAUAACCUACCUAUAAGACUGGGAUAACUUCGGGAAACCGGAGCUAAUACCGGAUAAUAUUUUGAAACGCAUGGUUCAAUAGUGAAAGACGGUUUUGCUGUCACUUAUAGAUGGAUCCGCGCCGCAUUAGCUAGUUGGUAAGGUAACGGCUUACCAAGGCACCGAUGCGUAGCCGACCUGAGAGGGUGAUCGGCCACACUGGAACUGAGACACGGUCCAGACUCCUACGGGAGGCAGCAGUAGGGAAUCUUCCGCAAUGGGCGAAAGCCUGACGGAGCAACGCCGCGUGAGUGAUGAAGGUCUUCGGAUCGUAAAACUCUGUUAUUAGGGAAGAACAAAUGUGUAAGUAACUAUGCACGUCUUGACGGUACCUAAUCAGAAAGCCACGGCUAACUACGUG